AUUGAACGCUGGCGGCAGGCCUAACACAUGCAAGUCGAGCGGAUGACGGGAGCUUGCUCCUGGAUUCAGCGGCGGACGGGUGAGUAAUGCCUAGGAAUCUGCCUGGUAGUGGGGGACAACGUUUCGAAAGGAACGCUAAUACCGCAUACGUCCUACGGGAGAAAGCAGGGGACCUUCGGGCCUUGCGCUAUCAGAUGAGCCUAGGUCGGAUUAGCUAGUUGGUGAGGUAAUGGCUCACCAAGGCGACGAUCCGUAACUGGUCUGAGAGGAUGAUCAGUCACACUGGAACUGAGACACGGUCCAGACUCCUACGGGAGGCAGCAGUGGGGAAUAUUGGACAAUGGGCGCAAGCCUGAUCCAGCCAUGCCGCGUGUGUGAAGAAGGCCUCCGGGUUGUAAAGCACUUUCAGCGAGGAGGAAGGGUGGUGUGUUAAUAGCACAUCAUUUUGACGUUACUCGCAGAAGAAGCACCGGCUAACUCUGUGCCAGCAGCCGCAGUAAAAC
rnacentral:rRNA from 1 species